GUGUGGCGGCGUGCUUACCAUGCAAGUCGAACGAAGCGGCUGCAGGGAUUCCCUUCGGGGAGGAACAGUAGCUGUCUGAGUGGCGGACGGGUGAGUAACGCGUGGGCAACCUGCCCCAUACCGGGGGAUAACAGCCGGAAACGGCUGCUAAUACCGCAUACGCCCAGGAGGCUGCAUAGCUUCCUGGGGAAAACUCCGGUGGUAUGGGAUGGGCCCGCGUCUGAUUAGCUCGUUGGCGGGGUAACGGCCCACCAAGGCGACGAUCAGUAGCCGGCCUGAGAGGGCGGCCGGCCACAUUGGGACUGAGACACGGCCCAGACUCCUGCGGGAGGCAGCAGUGGGGAAUAUUGCACAAUGGGGGAAACCCUGAUGCAGCGACGCCGCGUGAGCGAUGAAGUAUCUCGGUAUGUAAAGCUCUAUCAGCAGGGAAGAAAGUGACAGUACCUGACUAAGAAGCCCCGGCUAACUACGUGCCAGCAGCCGCGGUAAUACGUAGGGGGCAAGCGUUAUCCGGAUUCACUGGGCGUAAAGGGAGCGCAGGCGGCACGGCAAGUCUGGUGUGAAAACCCGGGGCUCAACCCCGGGACUGCAUUGGAAACUGCCGGGCUGGAGUGUCGGAGGGGUAAGCGGAAUUCCUAGUGUAGCGGUAUAGCGGGG
rnacentral:rRNA from 1 species